GAACGCAUAUUGCACUCUCUGGUAAUCCGGGGAGUAUGCCUGUUUGAGGGUCAGUAAAUAAUAAUUAUCAUAAUCUUUUGAUUGUGGAAUUGGGCUUUUAUUUCAUUUUAAUGAUUUAUGGCCUUAAAUUUGCGUUACCGCUUGUUUAAUAUGAAAUUCGACCGAAUGGAGCAAUUAAACAUUCUCUCGUUAGGCGGAUUCAUCAAGCAAUUACGAUUUUUUGGCCGUCGAGGCACUUUUUUUUAGAAGUGCUUGGUCGAGAUUGUAAGAUACAUUUAACAAUGACCUCAAAUCAGGCAAGAAUACCCGCUGAACUUAAG
rnacentral:misc_RNA from 1 species